rnacentral:rRNA from 1 species
AUUCCAGCUCCAAUAGCGUAUAUUAAAGUUGUUGCAGUUAAAAAGCUCGUAGUUGGAUUUCUGUGAGAGUGCCGGUGUCGGCUGAUGCUUGUACGCAGGCGCUCUUACAUCCUUCUGUUAACUGUUCUUGGCAUUUUAUUGCUGGUUCAGGGCUCAGAUAUUUUACCUUGAGAAAAUUAGAGUGUUUCAGGCAGGCUUAUGCCGGAAUACAUUAGCAUGGAAUAAUGGAACAGGACCUGUGCGUCUCUCGGGGCGCCGGUCUCCGUUGUUGGUUUCGGGGACUAAUGUAAUGAUUAAUAGGGAUAGUUGGGGGCAUUAGUAUUUAAUAGUCAGAGGUGAAAUUCUCGGAUUUGUUAAAGACUUACUUAUGCGAAAGCAUUUGCCAAGGAUGUUUUCAUUA